CACGAAAUAAGGCGAGCUAAAUAGUAAUAAUUAAUAGAUUAAUAUAUGUAGCAUAAUAUAAUUAAAUUAUUAUUUAGGAGUGAUAGGCUAAUCAAGUCUUAAUAUAUCUUGAUAUCUUUUAAAAACAAUAGUGUUAGUACAACUUAAAAAUGAUAAGGUUUUUAAGGGACAUAAAUUAUUUAUAAUAGUUUUAUUUUGGUUUAAUCACUAAGUAUAUAAUGUUACUUAUUAUUUAUAUAAAGAAUUUAUGUAUUAUAAAAGGUACCACAGAACAUAUAAGAGUGUCUAUAAUGUAAUUAUUAGUAACCUAAAAGGUUAAAUUAAUGAACUCGGCAAUAUAUCUUUCAACUGUUUAUCAAAAACAUAGCCAUAAGAAAUUAUUUAUGGUCUUUUCUGCUCCAUGAUUCAUUUAAAUAGCCGCAGUACUCUGACUGUGCAAAGGUAGCGUAAUAAUUUGACUUAUAAUUGAAGUCCUGAAUGAAAGAAAGUUUGAAGGCUAACUGUAUCAGUAAAAUUAUGUGAAAUUACUAGAUAAGUGAAAAUACUUUUAUUAAAAUAAUAGACGAGAAGACCCUAGAAAUUUUUAUUAGAUGAUUACAAGCAUUUUUGUUGGGGCAACAAGGUAACAAGAAACUUACCGUAAAACGACAAGAAAUAUGUAUAGUAAGAUUAAAUUACUCUAGGGAUAACAGCGUAAUUUUUACUUGAUUGCGACCUCGAUGUUGGACUAGGGAACAACUGCUUAGAA
rnacentral:rRNA from 1 species